rnacentral:lncRNA from 1 species
AGGACAAAUGCAGGUCUAUAAAAUAUUUUAGGCUUAAGUGAUUUAUGAGCUGUAUGAUACCAAAUUGUAGGUGAAAUUCACUUGAGUGAGUGAAAAUGAAGUCUAUCUUUAAGCUGAUGAACAGAAUUCUGUUCUGCUGUAAAGCUGUGCUGUUUUUUUCUUUUUUUUCUAAUGGAUAAAAUAUUUAAUUCAGGUUUGAAAACAUCAGAAGGCUGUUUAUUGUGAGGAGCCCUGAUCUUCACACAAGAAUAUUUAACUGAGAGCCUGUGUUAUCCCAUGGUCAUGCUUUCAUUUGUGGCUGCUGGAAGAAAAUAAAGAUGAAAUAAGAAGUGAAAAUAAUAUUGGAACAUAGCUGGUGUCCUCCAGUCUGUAGUUCCAGCUGGGUCUCCUUCAGCCAAAUCUGCUGGGACCUUGAGGAGUGAACUGAAAAAUGCUCUCUCCAUUCCUAUCCAUCUCAACUGGAAAUGCUUAAAACCUGUUUUAUUCAGCAAAACUUGCUCUCUCUUUCACCCCUAGGAGGAGCAUGUUUUCUAAGGAUGGGUCUUUGAUGAUAUAACUUAUCUCCUGGGUUUGGAGAGACUUUUACUUUAUUUACAUAGCUUUCCUCGAAAGCAGAAACACAUCCAGGGCUAGGUAGGUGCCUUUCUAAGUGAGUUCUGCAGAGGUAGAUAUUUGGUACAACUGGUCCUGGCUGGGUUUUUUUCUCCCUCAAUCUUCUUUCCUU